GGGGCUAUGGCGCAGUUGGGAGCGCGUCUGCGUGGCACGCAGAAGGUCGCCGGUUCGAACCCGGCUAGCUCCACCA
rnacentral:tRNA from 1 species